CCCCCCCCCCCCCCCCACCUCCCCAGUUCUUAUUUUCUAUCAGAAACCAGGAGAGAACCUCAGGAACAAAGUUAGGGACUGUGACCACACACCAUCACAUGAUCCAGCUGGCCUAGGAAAGCUUCUAGGAAUCCAGAGUGGGCUCUGAUAGCCCUGCAUCAAACCACAGAAGGAAACUCAGUCAGGGGAGCUCUGCCUGGGGCAGUGUUCAGCUAUUGUGGCCAUAAUGUAAGGGAGUAAUGUUGAGGCCACAACUUGGAGCUAGGGCUGACAGACACCUCCCAGGGACAGCAUAGGUCCAUAGGUUACAACUUGCCCUCUGUACUUGAGCUAUUUCUGAAACCUCUUCCUGCUAGAAAAUUAGCAGGCUUUCUUGUCAUCUGCUAUAUAUUAGUUUGGCUGUCCUAACGAAAUACUAUUAGGGUAAAAAGUUAGGCAGUUCAAGGCCAGUAUGGCAGCUUUAAAACAGCCAGACCCAAGCUUUUGCUUUCUUUUAUCUUUACUAUCCUAGGGUGUGGUCCUUGUCAUCCAGAUCCAGGAUGUCUGGUUAUAUUUAGCAGCAAAAUGGAGAAAAGGGGUUGGAAGACAUGCUUUUCCUGUUUAAGGUUACAACCCCAAAGUUUCAUAUAUCCCUCUGUUCCCAUCCCCAAACCAUGGAACAGUCAUUCAAGGGAGCCUGGGUGAUGGAAUCAAUUCUGAGUGUCUAUAUGUCUAGCUAAAAUUCUAGGGUUCCCUUACUGAAGGAAAAAAGUUGGACGGAACUCCCUGAUCUGAGUGUAACAUCUACUUAAAAUAUUGGUGAUUGCUUGCACUCUCCCAUCUGGAUCUUGAGUAUUGAGUCCAUUCAUCCCUCUUUAUCUCCGACUGAUCCUUUGGUUGUGGGUCUGUCUUCCAGUUACGUCCACGUGGAUGCAUUCUCAGAAUCACAGAUUGGUUAUGCUCUGAGAUGCUCAGCUACCACCUAACCUGCAGAUUUAUCUUCAUUCCUGAGCAUGACAGGACAUCAUAUGGCUCACUUCAUUGCCACACAAGCUUCCCUGAAGAUCAGUGGAAUAGGCCACAAUCUGCCAGUUCCACGGAGUCAGGGAAGAAUGACCAUGAUGGCUCCACUGGAAAUGAUUUCAAAUCGCUGCAAUAGGUAAGGUCAUUAUUAAUGCAUGCUCAUCUACUUCAUUCGUCUAGUUUGAUUCCCUUCCAACACUGCUUUGUACUCAGCACUGUAACUAAAAACUCUAAUUUAUAUGGAAUAAAGGCCCUCUACCAUCUAGACCUGACCUUUCU
rnacentral:lncRNA from 1 species